rnacentral:lncRNA from 1 species
UUAGCUGUGUGGAUAGGGGUCACAUCUCUCUUAUGUGAGGUUCUUGCUGUGAUGGGAGUCACUUCUGUACUUAGGUGAGAAGCUCUUAGCUGUGUGAUUGGGGGUCACUUCUCUACUUAUUUGUGAGGUUCUUAGCUGUGUGAUGGAGUCACUUCGUAACUUUAUUUGAGAGCCGCUGCUGUGUGAUGUGGGUCGGUGUCUCUUCUUACUUUGAGUUUCUUAGCUGUGUGAGGGGGUCACUUCUCCACUUAUUUGUGAGGUUCUUAGUUGUGGGAUGGGGUCACUUCCCACUUAUUUUGUGAGGUGCUUAGGUGUGUGAUGGGGCGUCAGUUUUACUACAUUUGUGAGGUGCUUAGGUGUGUGAUGGGGGGUCACUUCUCUUCUUAUUUCUGAGGUUUUUAGCUGUGUGAUGGAGGUGUCACUUCUCUACCUAUUGUGUGGCUUCUUAGCUGUGACAUCAUGGUUCACUUCUCUACUUAUUUUUGAGGUUCUUAGCAGUGUGACGGGGGUCAGUUCUCUACUUAUUUGUAAGGUUCUUAGCAGUGUGAUGGGGUCAGUCUCUACUUAUUUGUAAGGUUCUUAGCAGUGUGACGGGGGUCAGUUCUCUACUUUUUGUAAGGUUCUUAGCAGUGUGAUGGGGGUCAGUUCCUACUUAUUUGUAAGGUCUUAGCAGUGUGAGGGGUCAGUUCUCUACUUAUUCUUAAGGUUCUUAGCAGUGUGAUGGGUCAGUUCUCUACUUAUCUUAAGGUUCUUAGCAGUGUGAUGGGGGUCAGUUCUCUACUUAUUUGUAAGGUUCUUAGCAGUGUGAUGGGGUUCAGUUCUCUACUUAUUGUAAGGUCUUAGCAGUGUGACGGGGGUCAUUUCUCUACUUAUUUUAAGGUUCUUAGCAGUGAUGGGGGGGUCAGUUCUCUACUUAUUCUUAAGGUUCUUAGCAGUGUGAGGGGUCAGUUCUCUACUUAUUUGUAAGGUUCUUAGCAGUGUGAGGGGGUCAGUUCUCUACUUAUUUGUAAGUUCUUUAGCAGUGGGACGGGGUCACUCCUACUAUUUGUAAGGUUCUUAGCAGGUGACGGGGU